UUCCAGGCUUUGUCAUGGCGGCUGCUGCUGCGCGCUGGAACCAUGUGUGGGUCGGCACCGAGACUGGGAUCUUGAAAGGUGGGUGGCAGGCUUGGGCGUCGGGAAGUGCAGGAGUGCACUCGCGCCCCUGGCGUGACUGACGCCCUCGUCUCUCAGGGGUAAAUCUUCAGCGAAAACAGGCGGCGAACUUCACGGCCGGAGGACAGCCGCGGCGGGAGGAGGCAGUGAGCGCCCUGUGUUGGGGCACGGGCGGCGAAACCCAGAUCCUGGUGGGCUGCGCGGACAGGACGGUGAAGCACUUCAGCACCGAGGAUGGCAUAUUCCAGGGUCAGAGACACUGCCCGGGAGGGGAGGGCACGUUCCGUGGCCUCGCCCAGGCCGACGGCACCCUCAUCACAUGUGUGGAUUCUGGGAUUCUCAGAGUCUGGCAUGACAAGGACAAGGACACAUCCUCUGACCCAGUGAGGCUCCCCUGCCCUGAUGGUUGGGGGAGGUGGGCUGGGGUAGGUGCCUAAUGAUCACGCUGGGGAAAGGAGGAUUAAGGACUCGGGAACGGACUCUUAUCUCCCAUUCUUUAUAGCUCCUGGAACUGAGAGUGGGCCCUGGGGUGUGUAGGAUGCGCCAAGACCCAGCACACCCCCAU
rnacentral:sRNA from 1 species